rnacentral:rRNA from 1 species
GGACCAAGGAGUCUAGCAUGUGCGCGAGUCAUUGGGACUCUAACGAAACCUAAAGGCGCAAUGAAAGUGAAGGUCCGCCUUGCGCGGACCGAGGGAGGAUGGGGGGCCCCGAGGGACCCCCUCGCACUCCCGGGGCGUCUCGUUCUCAUUGCGAGAAGAGGCGCACCCAGAGCGUACACGCUGGGACCCGAAAGAUGGUGAACUAUGCCUGGUCAGGACGAAGUCAGGGGAAACCCUGAUGGAGGUCCGUAGCGAUUCUGACGUGCAAAUCGAUCGUCGGAACUGGGUAUAGGGGCGAAAGACUAAUCGAACCAUCUAGUAGCUGGUUCCCUCCGAAGUUUCCCUCAGGAUAGCUGGCGCUCGCAUCUAGCGAGUCUCAUUCGGUAAAGCGAAUGAUUAGAGGCAUUGGGGUCGAAACGGCCUCAACCUAUUCUCAAACUUUAAAUGGGUGAGAUCUCCGGCUUGCUUGAACUGUGAAGCCGCGAGAUAUCGGAUCAGAGUGCCAAGUGGGCCACUUUUGGUAAGCAGAACUGGCGCUGUGGGAUGAACCAAACGCCGAGUUAAAGCGCCUAAAUCGACGCUUAUGGGAUACCAUGAAAGGCGUUGGUAACUUAAGACAGCAGGACGGUGGCCAUGGAAGUCGGA